CAGGUUUAGUAUCUUAUGCUUUUUGGGGCUAAGAUUUUCAGCUGGGUAGUUUUCAUCUAAAUGGAAGUCAGGUGUUUUUCAAAAGGCUUUUUAUUUUAAUGCAUCAAAGUAUUUUCCCAACAGAAAAGAACUGGCUUUUGAAGCAGAAUGGAAAUUUUUAAUUCAAUCUGAAUUUUCUUUUAUUUUAAGGGAAAAAAAAAAAAAGUAAAAGCCAGCCAUGGAAACCUUCUCACUAAAAAUGCUGGCUUUAGGUCAAAAACCCUUUCAAGAUUUUUUUCAAAUGAAAUAUUUCCCUUUAAAACUUUAGUUUUUAAAAGAAUCUGCUCAUUUUUCUUAGGGUUUUUAAGGAAGAGAAGACUAAAAGGUGAUAAGUAGAAUCAACUUAGAAAAUCUUUGUGGGGAAAAUUAAGUUAAAAUUAUGAUAUCUUACAUUAAAAAUAAUUCCCUUAUUUUGAUCAAACAGUAGAACAUCUGGCCACAUCUGACAGGGCUGGCAAUACUGUGUAGGUGGCUCCAGGGGCUGCACAACACUGGGGAAAAGUUGCACUGUCAAUAAAAACCAACCACGGGCUGUUCACUUCCUCCUUUGCCAUAUGUUGGGCUCAUUAAUGGAACAUCAAAUCUACAAAUGUGGACAUAAAGUCAGCCUAUACAUGUCCAGCUUCUGAUAUGAGCAUCCAACCACUGCUUGGGGCCUGUGUUUGAAAAGCAGGGCCAUGUCCUGAGGGCUGUAAAUCCAUUCUUUUUGAUGGAAAACAAAUCUCAGCGGGUUUCUUUCUUCAUUUUUCCUUUUUUUUUUUUUUCCACAAAAGAGUCUUGUAUUCUGCACUGUGAGUCUGAUUUGCAACGGGGAGGGGGAAGCAGCAAAUCCAGUUCAAGGCUUGAAAGAUUUCCACUGUCAUUGCUAGAGCUCUGUGGAGUCAGAGCCCCUCAGUGCCAAGAACAAACACAUCAUCACCACCGCAUAAUGCAAACACGAUGCUCUUGUAACCUGCUGUGGGACACUGGGAAUCUACCUCCCAGGAGAAAAGGCAGGCGGGGAAAGCCCUGGAAAUUUCUUUUGGUGACUAAAACCAUACUUUAUUGCAAAGUGCAUAAAGGACUGUCUCGCCUUUCCAGGCUGACUUCCCACCUGCAGUGCGUUGCUGAUUUAAUAAGGGCUGAAAGGGAUUAUCAAGUUGUGAAGUUGCUUGCAUCCUACCGGGCUGUAAUGAAUGAAGGCUUUUGUUCGGCUCAGCCUAACUGAAUGCUUCUUGGAGUGAUCAUAGCUGAGGAAAGGCUAGGGAGAGGAAACAUGUUGCUCAACACAGCUCAGACUUCACUUCCAAACAUCGUCAUGAGGGUUGUAGGGUUUUCCACAAAAUACUUUUGGAGGAGCCAAGCCUUCAACACCAGCAGUUUUUACUCAGACUGUUGGAAUGAUCAAUAAAUCGGCAGCAACUGAUCUCAGAGUCUGAGGAUGUCUACAAGGCACAAGCAGCUCUUUUAGGUGGUUCGAGGGCACUGCGGAAGGGGAUGAAGUCCGUCCCAACGACAGUGUGCAAAAGAGCUGCACAGAAAGGAUUUUGAUAGCAGCACUCACAUCUGUGACUGAUUCCCCCAAGCUCAGGACAAAUUAAGAAUCUUCCAGCAAUUAGGGGAGAAAGCUUCAAAGUGCAAUCAGCAGACCUUAGAAGAAUAUGUGCUUGGGCUUUGAGGGAGGCUAAUCCUGCUGCUUGCACUGGGUUCCUCUCUGCUGUGUGCAUUUUCCAAGGCCAAAUUUUGGCCUGCUUCUCAGUCACACCAUAUAAAAUAACAAACACACAGUCUAAGGAAAACAAUUUUUAAGACACAGUGGAACCCACUUUAAUGAAGAAAACUGUUAAAUGCAUAAAACCCCCAUGUGCCAAUGGAUAAAUGUGCUGGAAGUGUGAACUGUUAAACCAACAAAAUUGUUAACACAUCAUACUGCUGGGCAAAAAAAUAAAAUAAAGAAAAAAUAAAAAGGGAGUGAAACGGUUUUUUAACAUGCAACCCACUUUGCCUUUAUUGUUCACAUUCCUGCUGACAUAAAGUUUCCUGAUUUGUCCCCUGGGCCCAGAAAUAUGGCAAAAGCGGGAACAUUAAUUGUAUUUGCCCCCUUUAAACUGCCCUCCCUGCUUUUAGCUCACAGUGGCCAAGGAUAGCUUCACGGAAUAGGGAAAGUUUGCCCUUUUUUAUUCAGGGUGAUGAGUGAACAAGUUCGUGUGGAUUUUUUUUUAAUUGGUAUAAAACUUUAAACUAUUCCUGAAUGUCUUUUUUUUUGUUUGUUUGUAUCUGUGAGGAAAACUGGGACUAGUUUUACGUUUGCUUUUCCUUAAAAUUCUUAAGUCCCUCCAUAUUCCUGGUUUUCCUUGGGGUCGAUGCUGAAAUGAGGUUUUUCCCCUGGCCUUGCUGCUUCCUGUGAAGAUGUGGAGCUCUUCCUGAGGAAAAGCCUGAUCUCAGGAGACCCCUGAAGGCAACCGCUUUGAUAAGUGUCCAACCCUCUGGGCGUGCUGAUGUGGUGGUACCUGGACUUCUGCCUCACUGUGAAACAUGAGAAACUAAAAAUUAGUGCACUGAAUUUAUCUUAUCUGACUCCUGAAUUACACGCUUUUCACAGAUUUCGUUUCCACAGGUGGUCAAAAUGGAAUAGGUUGAUGUUUCUUGGUUUUAUAUUUCCUUUAAUGAGAAAACAAGGAAAUAAAAAGCAUAGAAAAUGUGAAUGAAACUUAAGGACUUGGUAAAAAUGCUCUUAAGGAAGAAGUAAUUUAGAAUAUUUCCUAUUUAUAACAUUUUUCUUAAAAUUGUAGGAUCUGCAUGGAUUUCUGUUCAGAUAAGGUCUGUGUUGCUGUUUGCCUGUUCUAGAGGCCUUUUAGGUGCUGCUCUAUGAACGCAGGUAUGAAAGUGCGUUUAUGAUGACUAAACUCCAACUG